rnacentral:rRNA from 1 species
UACGUAGGGACCAAGCGUUGUUCGGAUUUACUGGGCGUAAAGGGCGCGUAGGCGGCCUAGCAAGUCACUUGUGAAAUCUCCGGGCUUAACUCGGAACUGCCAACUGAAACUGCUGGGCUAGAGUGCAGAAGGGGCAAUCGGAAUUCUUGGUGUAGCGGUGAAAUGCGUAGAUAUCAAGAGGAACACCUGAGGUGAAGACGGGUUGCUGGGCUGACACUGACGCUGAGGCGCGAAAGCCAGGGGAGCAAACGGG